rnacentral:lncRNA from 1 species
GCUCCAGCCGGCAGCCUGCGGGCGGCGCUGGGCAUGCGCACGGCCUCCGCCCCUGCCGCCGCUUUUCCCGCGUCUUUCAUGGGGCCCCGGAUCGAGAGCGGGAGAGUCUCCCCCUCCCGGCAUCCCCCAGGACGGACGUAACCCCCUCCUGCGCAGUCCGGCGGGACUCGCAGGAAGAGCUGCAGUGGAGUGGCGCAGCGUCCGUCUGUGAAUAGCAGCCUCCCGCACGGCCCGCGCCAUCUUGAAUACGAGCUGGGAGCAGCGUCCCCCCUCCCKCUCCAAGAUGGCGCCGGCCGGGUGAGUGACAUGUCCAGUCACGUGGGCAGCGGAUGAGCCCCUCUCUCCCCCCGCCUUAAAUGAUCUCUAUGGUUCAGCAGGACACACAGGAGGCGGCAGCGGCGGCGAGGGACAGAGCCACGGCAGCAGCGGGGGCCGCGGCCGCUCGGCGCCCUUUUGUCUGCGGCCUAAGAAAGGAGUCUAGCCUUGGCCACUGAGGUGCAUGGGGUUCGAGCCCCGUCGCUGGGAUAUUGUUUCUUUCGCAGAGCUGGAUGAAAAACCACUAGUUUCACACUGUUUGGAGGGCACUUGAAUUUUGGCUGAAGAGCAAGCGUCUGCAUUUCUUCUAAUGCUUAGACCUUAUUCACAUGGCACCCUUGAAAGAGGUGGAUUUUCUGUUUUAUGAAGAUGGAGAUCAGUGACUGUCUUGUAUUUUCUGUGUUCUGAAUGUGUAAAUGUUGUAUGUGUGAUCUUAACUGCUCUUGCUUGCAUAGUAUGAAAUCCUGCAUAUUUAUCUAACAAAAGCCAAAAUAUGUAGCUAUCAGUUUCCUUACCUUGAUAAGGUAGUCUUUUUACAGUAUAGUUGAUUGUACUGCUUGGUGCUAACAAUUUAUAGGUGAGCUUCUGAGAUAUUUUUUUCCUGUGUAUUUUGAUUUACUUUUUGUGAGAUGCAAACCUAUGAAACUGCUACUGUGAAUUAAUCAUAUUGCUGAUAUAUUUGUAGCGAUGGCAAAGGAUAUCAUUUUGAUACAAAUUUUAGUGCGCUGACCAUUUAUUACUAUGGCAUAAACUUGGAAUAUAUUAAAACAUUUACAAUAAAUGUGCAUAACUGUCUCUUUUUUUUUUUAAA